rnacentral:rRNA from 1 species
CCUACGGGGGGCUGCAGUAACGGAUCUUCCGCAAUGCCCGCAAGGGUGACGGAGCGACGCCGCGUGCGGGACGAAGUCCUUCGGGAUGUAAACCGCUGUCAGGGGGUACCAAGCCCUGAGGACCCCCAGAGGAAGGCACGGCUAACUCUGUGCCAGCAGCCGCGGUAAGACAGAGGUGCCGAGCGUUAGGCGGAAUCACUGGGCUUAAAGCGUGUGUAGGCGGACCCGUGAGUACCUUGUGAAAUCCCCCGGCUCAACCGGGGAACGGCUGGGUAUACUGCGGGUCUUGGGCGACCCAGGGGCAGACGGAACAAGUGGUGGAGCGGUGAAAUGCGUAGAUAUCACUUGGAACGCCGGCGGCGAAAGCGGUCUGCUGGGGGUCAUGGCCGACGCUGAGACACGAAAGCCAGGGGAGCGAACGGGAUUAGAUACCCUAGUAG